rnacentral:lncRNA from 1 species
GGAAAAAAGAUUCGCUUAGCGCAUUUACAUGUGCAAAAAAUCAUAAACCCACGCAAAGCCAAGCCGAAUACAGGCCGCCCAGCGACGGCAAAGCAGCGCGCAGAGAAAAAAAAAGACUGACUAACAGGAAAAAAACGACCCAUUCCACAGAGAGCGCACCCAGAACCCUUUUGCAAAUACAAAGGAAAAAGAAAAGGAGAGAGAGAGCGCGCGCGCGCAUCCAAGAGACAGAAGAAAGGACCCACCUGGCGGUUUGCCAUGUGUUUUUCGGCACGACCACUUGGAGUUUUUGGUCCGCGGCGAGGUCGGGUCCGAGCACGUGCACAUCGUCCACGCGCUCGCCCGUAUUGGAAAUCGUCAAUUCCAGCGGAAAGCCUGUGUUGUUGGAUUGAGAGCCGUCAGGAAACCCAUCGUCCCACGACCAGCGCCUUUUCCUGCUCGUUGUCGUGCGGUUCCUCUUCUUCCGGUCAAGACGCGCCAUCGGUUCGUCGGUUAAAAACGUACCCAAAUGCCAGAACCAGACUUCGGCGGCGUCGAGCCUGUGCCAGUGCGAUUUCUGUCCGCGGGUCAACAGAAAAUAGAUGACGGAGCAGGGCGCCCGGUCGGCGUCUGCCUCUGCGGCAAUCUUGUUUGCUGUCUGCUUUUUUUCGGGCCACAAGCGGAUCAAUCACGAUUAGAAAAACAAGAGCGACCCACGAGAAAAAAGGAGGCCAAACAAUGGCGACAAAAGGGUCGGUCGCCCUUUGAUGGCAGGGACUUUGGGAUCCGAUUUGUGCGUACCGCAUAGUAGCCUCCCUCGACAUGCC